AGGAGCAGACGACGGCAACGGGAGAGUGACUUCCAGUCACGGUGCUUGGUGUUUCGAACGAAACCUCCGACCUGAAGGCUGGCGCUGAGCCGCUGAGCCGUGCUCCCUCGAGGGCUGCAGAAGAUAGCGCCAGCCUUUCCUUUCUCAUAAAGAAUCACUUAAAAACCUCAGACCGUCGUCGAUUCUAUUGGGCCUAGCUACCGGUGCUAACGCAACGUAUCUGGAACAAAGCUUCUGCAUCGUUGACAACAAAUAGCCGCAAGUGCUGAUUGCUGCUGGGUAGCUCAGUACAGAACCUGGCCUCACAAAUGCGAUAACCUAGCUGAAAGUAUCACUGCCAAAACGGCAUACCACGCCCCUUCCAUGGU